CCUACGGGUGGCUGCAGUGGGGAAUAUUGGACAAUGGGCGAAAGCCUGAUCCAGCCAUGCCGCGUGUGUGAAGAAGGCCUUCGGGUUGUAAAGCACUUUCAGUGGGGAAGAAAGCCUUGGGGCUAAUACCCUCGAGGAAGGACAUCACCCACAGAAGAAGCACCGGCUAACUCCGUGCCAGCAGCCGCGGUAAUACGGAGGGUGCGAGCGUUAAUCGGAAUUACUGGGCGUAAAGCGCGCGUAGGCGGUCUGAUAAGCCGGGUGUGAAAGCCCCGGGCUCAACCUGGGAACGGCAUCCGGAACUGUCAGGCUAGAGUGCAGGAGAGGAAGGUAGAAUUCCCGGUGUAGCGGUGAAAUGCGUAGAGAUCGGGAGGAAUACCAGUGGCGAAGGCGGCCUUCUGGACUGACACUGACGCUGAGGUGCGAAAGCGUGGGUAGCAAACAGGAUUAGAUACCCGUGUAGUC
rnacentral:rRNA from 1 species